rnacentral:lncRNA from 1 species
CCUUUUUCUUUUGCAUUUGGAUGCUGUGAUAAUAACAUGCCCUUCAAUUAUUACACUUUUGCUUUUCCCUCCUUCCAAAAAUGGUGGAAUCUUUUUGAUCAAUGGAUCAUUCAUUUGGAGAAGGAAUUCCACCCAUUGAAGCAAUCUAUGAACUCUCAACCUUGCUCGUAGUGUUAAAUUCUGCAGCAAAAAAAGAAAAAAGAAACCACUUUGGCAAUUAAUUUGAGUCAGUUUUUUAUCAUCUAGUGUGUGUAGUGGUUGUAAUGGCAAUUAAUUUUAGCAACCUAUGUUUUCAUGAAGUUACUAAAGUAAAGUAAAGUAAAAUCCUUCAAAGUACAGCAAAAUAAAGAAACCACAAAAUAUGAACUCAGCAAGUGCUAUAACCUGACGAAAGGAGACACAAAAUAAUAAAGCUAAGCAAACUCUGUUCCACAGAUUACCUUAGCAAAAGAGGAAGUUAAG